AUACGGAGGGUGCAAGCGUUAUUCGGAAUCACUGGGCGUAAAGGACGCGUAGGCGGGUUGGCAAGUCAGAUAUGAAAUCCUACAGCUUAACUGUAGAACUGCAUUUGAAACUGCUAACCUAGAGUAUGGGAGGGGGAGAUGGAAUUAGUGGUGUAGGGGUAAAAUCCGUAGAUAUCACUAGGAAUACCGAAAGCGAAGGCGAUCUCCUGGAACAUAACUGACGCUAAGGCGUGAAAGCGUGGGGAGCAAACAGGAUUAGAUACCCCUGUAGUCC
rnacentral:rRNA from 1 species